CCCCAGGCGUGGUGCGCACCGACCCCUCUCGCUCUCCAGGCUUCAGCGAAAACCUGCAUUCGCCCCAUAGGACGCAAACACAUUUCCCCUUCAUUUUUGGAGGGGGAAAAGUGCGUCCUAUAGGGCGAAAAAUACGGUAUGUCAUCCAAAUAAAUCCUGCCAUCCGUAAUGACUUUCCUAUCCUGUAGGAACAGGGACAAGAAUAUACAACAAUGACUGGAAACCCAAAAUUUGCGCAUUUGUUUACAGUUAUUCACAGGUGCUUUUGGCAGAAAUCGUGUGUAUUUUUACCCAAGGGACUCGAUGCAACAGGCAACCUUCCCCUGUUUAAUGUCUGCUGCCAGGAUGAUGUUGGAGGAGCAGG